AAACCAACCGGGAUUGCCUUAGUAACGGCGAGUGAAGCGGCAAAAGCUCAAAUUUGAAAUCUGGUACCUUCGGUGCCCGAGUUGUAAUUUGGAGAGGGCAACUUUGGGGCCGUUCCUUGUCUAUGUUCCUUGGAACAGGACGUCAUAGAGGGUGAGAAUCCCGUGUGGCGAGGAGUGCGGUUCUUUGUAAAGUGCCUUCGAAGAGUCGAGUUGUUUGGGAAUGCAGCUCUAAGUGGGUGGUAAAUUCCAUCUAAAGCUAAAUAUUGGCGAGAGACCGAUAGCGAACAAGUACAGUGAUGGAAAGAUGAAAAGAACUUUGAAAAGAGAGUGAAAAAGUACGUGAAAUUGUUGAAAGGGAAGGGCAUUUGAUCAGACAUGGUGUUUUUUAAAUGUGCAAGUCUCUCGUGGACAUGUGCCUCUGGGAAAUUAACACUGGGCCAACAUCAGUUCUGGCGGCAGGAUAAAUCAUUAAGAAUGUAGCUACCUCGGUAGUGUUAUAGCUUUUUGGAAUACUGCC
rnacentral:rRNA from 1 species